AACGAACGCUGGUGGCAUGCCUAACACAUGCAAGUCGAAACGAGAAAACAUUCUUCGGAAUGUGGAAAGUGGCGCACGGGUGAGUACAAGAUAGGUAUCUACCUCGCACCGGGGGACAACAGUUAGAAAUGACUGCUAAUACCGCAUACGCCAUAUUGGGAAAACUACGGUGGUGUGAGAUGAGCCUAUCCCAGAUUAGCUAGUUGGUAGGGUAAA
rnacentral:rRNA from 1 species